rnacentral:rRNA from 1 species
AUACGGAGGGUGCGAGCGUUAAUCGGAAUUACAGGGCGUAAAGCGUACGUAGGCGGUUGGUUAAGUUAGAUGUGAAAGCCCCGGGCUUAACAUGGGAACUGCAUUUAAAACUGGCGAACUAGAGUUGAGUAGAGGGGAGUGGAAUUUCAGGUGUAGCGGUGAAAUGCGUAGAGAUCUGAAGGAACACCAGUGGCGAAGGCGACUCCCUGGACUCGAACUGACGCUGAGGUACGAAAGCGUGGGUAGCAAACGGGAUUAGAAACCCUAGUAGUCC